CUGUCUUUCACAAUGGUUAAACUAAUUUACACUUCCCAAAACAGUGUAAAAGCAUUCGUAAAGGUGACUUUUAUCAAGACUUAUGAAUAGAGUCAUCUUGUGAAAUUCCACUUUUCUCACAUAUAAGGGAGAAAGAAGGGCAGAUAGAAGGAGGAACUUGUUCUUAAGCUACUACAUUACCAUGCUUUACUGGGGAUCUGUCUGAGUAAGAGUUUCCAAAGUGAAAAAGCUACAUUCUUGGAGACUAUUCUAGAAACAAAUUUAAACAGAAGUAAUAAAGAUGACAUUUUGAACUAUGCAUGUAGCCAUUGAUUGCAAGUGUACUUAGGGGCCUCUUUGUCAAAAAAUUAUAACCUCCACAAUUUUUUUUUCUGUCAAAUUCCAGAAUAUGGACUUCAGUCUGUUGAAUUUUGCAGGCUUUUAUUUGAUAUGUUUAAUUGAAUAUCAUCAUUAUCAUUUUGCUGGUAUGUCAGGGCAAUGGUAUGUCAGGAAUUUUAGCUCUCAUAACAAAUUUAUUCAACUAAUUAAAACUAUUUACUAAUCCACCCAGGACAACUAAUCCAUUUAAGAAGAAGAACAAACAUAAGAAAAAGUUUCAAUAAAUAAGAAACAGUAAAAUUGCUUUGUGAAGACCACGCUAUUUGCUGGAUUUUAUUUUCUAAAUUGUACUGACAAAACACCAACAUGUAAUCUUGACCAAGCUUAUGCUAUCUUGCUUCCUUAAAUAGUGGUUCUCAACCAGGGAUGAUUUUCUGCCAGGGGAUAUUUGGCAACAUUUGGAGACAUUGUGGUUGUUACAUCUGAGGGUGGAGAUGCUAAUGACAUCUAGUGGGUAGAGGCCAUAAAUGCUGCUACAUAUCCUACGAUGUAUAGGACAACCCACAAAAAACAUAUAAUUAUCUGAUCCCAAAUGUCAACCUUGUAUCAAGGUUGAAAAAAUCCUGCUUUAGAGAAAUACAGGAUGAAUAUCACAUUUUCCUCAUAUUUAAAUAAUUUUCAUACAUAUACAGCUAUCUCAUGAAACAUUCAUCUCAAAACCCAAGCAAAAUACAGUUUUUUAUGUAGAACACUUUCUGGUCAAUGUACACACAAAUUGAAUGGUUUUUGAAAAGCAUUCUACUGCAUUAAAGGACAUAAGUGGAAGAUAUUUAUUGAAUAUAUUUAUUAAACUUCACUCACUAAGUAAAGCACACCACUGAUACUUCCUCCUGCUUAUCUGAUACAGAAAAGGACAUUAAGACAUCAUUUCCUGCAGUUUAUGUUCCAUAACACGGCAGUUGAUUAGAAAGAUGUAGUUACUUCUGUUUGAAAAUGUAACUGCUGCUCUGCCCUCUGGCUCACUUUGAAAAUUUGUGGUUCUGAAAGCUCAAGGCCCCUCUUUUGAAGUCUGACAGUGGCAUCAAACAAAUCCAACGAGCCCUGGCUAGAAUCAGGAGACUUGGACUUCUCCAUUCUGGGCUUUUAUGGCAGGUUGUGGAAACUGUGAAAAAGCUUGUUACACUGAGAAAGAAAUCAACUUUACUCACCUGCAGGAGUCUACUUGGCUGAUUAAGAUAUAAGACCUUCAGCCUACUCCAUCCAAUGCAUCCAUCUGUCUUCAGAAGAGUUUAGAAUUCUGUUUUGGUGCUGUGCAAAGAGUAAGACCAAGUGCUAACAUCCAGAUUUGCAUGUGCUGGGAGAGAAAGUUCUUCAUGGAUCUCUUGUGCUCCUACACAUCUCACAGAUGGAGUAUCUGGGGCUCAGGGAGAUGACCAACUUGCCCAAGGUGUCAACAUUAGUAAGUGAAAAAGCCAAAUUUGAAACUCAGGUAGUUUGACUCUUCUCAGUCUUGAUACAUUGUUUUUCUCAUCAAAUAAUGAUUAGCCGUAUUAUUUUGGAAUUGCCUAGGUAAAACUUCCAUAUGGCCUGGACGAGACCUCGGAGGUGAUAAAAAUCUUAUAUGACCCUGGCAUUCUCAGAUUUGAAAUCAGAAGGCUCACCAUUUCAGAAUAAACAUAAAGCUAAUAUAGAUAUAGUUGAAAAUUUACAGCCCAAACUCAGACUUAGUUUUGCUUAGCAACUGGACCAAAAUAAUAAACCUCUUCUCUAUGAACAAGAGGAGGAAUACCUGUUCUCCAACAAUGUUCAUAAAUCUGCCUUCAGUAUAAAUUUUGCAAGCAACAUUAAAGAGAGACCUUUGGAGUAGAGCCAACUCUUUGAAAACCCACUUUCACCUUGUGCUUGACAUCAUGCUAUAAAAAGUGGACUGUGACCUUCCAAAGAAGCUGUAAAGGUCCAUUUUGUGUCUCUUAUCUUUUUUUGUUCUCCAUCCCCAGUCUUCUUAAUUACAUUUUCACAUGAACUCUGUGGGUAUUAAAUGAAGCUGAGUCCAUUCAAUAUUUCUAUUCAAUCUUCUCGGAAAAUUGGUUCUGUUUUCUUUGGGCAAUCUAUAGGCAGUUUCUGAUGCAUUUCUAUACCAUUCUGGUAAUGUAUUUAUUUCCCCAGCCAUUUUUCACAGGGGACAGUUCCACCAUUUUAUUUUUAAGAUAAAACUUUCCAGAGCCAUUUGAAUCCAUCACACUAUUUAAAAAAUAUAGUUGUCACCCUUGUCAAGGCUGGAGGAGCCCAAUGGAGAAAAUCUCGUUCUGUUUUCUCUAAGCGGUUGCUGCCUGCCUGCUAAGUGUUAAACUUCUAACAGGGUCUCAGUCACUUUGCAAUAAAAUAUUUCCAGUUCUUGUCCCCACCAGCAGGAAGCCAAAGCCGUCCACUUCCUUGGCUUUUUAAUUUGACAGAGAUGCCUGCAUAUCUCGGACCUGAUACAGACAAGAGGCCCUGUGUGUUCCCAGGUUUGCAGUGUCUCCAUAGGUCACACCAUUAUUUUCAUUUUUCACUCACAGUAGGAACCUUUUUAACUGUACCUUUCAGUAUUCCAUUUGCUGAGGCAAUUGAGCUUCUCUUGGAUCCCUUGAUUGAAAGGGUACUUUUCAGAGGAUUAGUGCUGAUAGACAAGAAGGCAAAAAAGAUUUCUUCUUUCUUUCCCCCCCACUGCUAGUCCUAGCUUAGCUCUUUAAAUGAAGUUAUGACUUGGCAUAACAAUUAUCCAGCAAGCAGAUCCAAAAAGUAAGAAUGUUAGGGGCUCCAACUGAAAUGAAAAAAUAAUGAUAACCACAGUAUGUUUAGUAAGCUUUCGCUCACACAAAAACUUCCCUGUGUAUGAGGGGAUUUUAACCAUUCAACAUCAAGUGGUAAUUUUUCAUUAUAAGCUUGACUUCAGAAUUUAAGUUUUAAGUGGGGGAAAGGUGGACCAAAAAACAAUAGGGAAUAUAUUUGAAAAGUACUAAAAAAUAUUAACUGUGGAGAUUACUGGCCAAAAUCAAAUCUGGCAGAAGCAUGUGUUGAGUUCAUGCAUAGUUCCCAAAGCAUGGCUGAUUCCUAGACCAUCUCAUUAGAUAUAGCCUAGUUUUUGUUUAACCCCCAAGUCCACAGUUCCAUUCGGAACAACUAGAAUUAACUCAUUGACACAAAAUCAUAGAAUUUUGCAUGAUUGCAUUAGCAGAUGGUAAAACAAACCUGGCAAUUUUAAUCAUAGAAUAUUUGAACGUCUGCUUAAGAUUUUUGUUUUUAACAGAAAUGUUUAUGCUUUCGAAGAGUGGCAUUGAGCCCUUUAGAAGUUGAAACUCUCUGAUUAUGUCAAGUUGGAUUAUAAACUGGGUGGCAGUUUCUUCUCCUCAUGCUCCCUUCAGGGGCAUUUCUAUGCUGACCUGUGCAAAUGUCAGGGUCAUUCUGGAGAGAAGUGUCUUGCCUCAGUCUGCCAUGCUUGCUGAGUUCAGUGUCUACAGGCCAUUUGAACUUUGCCCUCACUAUGAUGCAGUCCAGCAAAGGCACAGAUUGCAAACAGGAAGGACUGUGAUUUUGCAUUUCACCUAGAGAUGAAAGAAGUGUGCUGUUUCACCUCCCAGACAUACGGUGAAAAUCAUUGCGAUUGAACCAGGGAGAGCUUGUGGAUAAGAGCAAAGAACACCAGCUAGAGGUACACUUUUUAUCCAAGCUUGUCAAGCAGCUUCAGGAAGAAGAUUUUGCUUUUUUGAGCCUUAUUUUUACUGCAGUGCAAUGACAGUCACCACCAGUUUGUACAUUUCUGCUUUCCUAGUGACUCAUCUGUUAAUUCAGUGACAAAUUAGCUGUGCUUCAAGUUCCUGGAUUUUAUGCCCUCCCAAACUGUGCGAUACUGGCUGUUCGAUCCAUAAAUUAACCUUACCAACAUUGGAAUUGCAAGUCUGUAAUAGAAGUGACAGAUAUCACCAAAUUAAUUUCUGACUAUUAGUUGCUGCUUUCUUAUCUUAGUUCAUUUGCAUAUUUUAGAGAUUCAGUUAGUUUGUUUUAGUUCAUUCAGAUAUUUUUAAAGUUGCAGGAAAAUAGCCCAUGACUUGGAAAUCUCUUGUUUCCCUUAUUCUCUUCAGUGUUUGGCCACUGAAUGAUUCCACUCAGCAGCACUUUAGCAGCAUGAAGCAGGGUGCUUGUUGCUAAUACAUACUGAAGCAAAUGGCUAUGUGGCAAAAUAAAAUUUGAAAAUAAAAUGAAAUCACAACACACUCUGCUCAUAAACAAAUCUUCAAAAUAGUCAUUGGAGCACAAAUGCAUUUAUUCUUUCUUCCUUGGUUCAACAUAGAUGAAAAUUUAAUUACAAGGGAAUUCUGGGGAAAAUAUUCCCAAGAUUUGUGUAUUCCAAGAACCAUUUUCUUCUUUAGUGUCUCGUCCCUGUUUUUCUUAGAUUUCUUGUUCCUAUUAAUCACAUUUUCUUCUAGUUAAGUAAGAGAGCCUGGUUGGUGUUUCCAUUUUAAAUUAAAUUUAAUAAAAGUCUAGCUGGCCAAAAUACUUGCAUCUAACACAAUUUGCCUACAAUCAGAUUGUGUCAUGGGCUGACCAUAUGGUCCCAGUUUAUCUUAAUGUCCUCAGAGGACUUACUUUUUCAUUGUCUACACAAUCCAUUGGAGAUAUUUUCAGGAUCUCAACACACAUAAUUCAGCUACAGGGGAAAUUAUUAGAUUGUGUGGUGAUUUCCCUAAAUGAAACAGGCUAACUUUAUAGAAGGGAGGGUCUGUUUAUGUUUUGUCUACAAUAAACCUCAAAUAUAGACUUUUUAAAAAAGCCUCUUAAAUCUGAUUGGCUGUUAGUAUCUCUUGGGAAAGUUUUAAAAACACGUAUUUCCAGGCUCACCCCCUAUCCACUGAAUCAUAAUUUAUAUUGGUAGGGUGAAAAAAAUAAGGAUUUAAAAGAAAAUCUGAAGCAUUUUAUUUGCAGUCAGGGACAAGGAAAUGACACAAUCAGACAAAUUUUGGAACCACUGAUACAGAAUAUUCUAAGGUAUUUAAUGAAUAGGUAACAUUUGACUUAGAAUAAUUGAUAUAUAAUUAUGCUGAUAAUUGGAAGAUAGAUUCUAUAAGAAUAGUAGUUUAAACCUAAAACUUUCAACUAACUUUGAAAAUUACAUUAUUGUAUUAAUGACUUCUAAAUCUAAAAUUUAACUUUAGUUUUACACAUUACUUCAUUCAGUCAAUAAGUAUUGAGCUAGCCUGUGGAAGAUACAAUGACAAAUAAACAAAAUCCUUACCCUUAGACUCCUUGAAUGAGUGUUACACUAAUCCAUCAGGAGUUUAAACAGCCCUGUGCAAUAUUGGAUAUCAUUAGUCUUAAUUCAGAAAGAUGAAACUGACGCAUUUCUUCCUACUUUCUUCAUUGACAUCAUUGUCUCAACAAAGGCACCACUGAUUUAAAAGGGGAAGGAUUCAAAAUUACAGCUGGAUAUAAAGAAUAAGUUCUAAUGGUCUAUAACACUGUAGGAUGACCACAAUAUAUAUUUUCAAAUAGCUAGAAGAAAGGAUAUUGGAUGUUCCCAACACAGAGAAAUGAUAAAUGUGCGAGAUGAUGGAUUUGGUAAUUAGCCCAAUCUGAUAUACAUACAUAUGUUAUAUGUAUUGAAACAUCACUAUGUACCCCACAAAUAUAUACAAUU